AACAAGACCUGACAGGGGCAGUACCAUGAUCAAGGAUUUGCCCAAAGCAAGGCUCACCCAUUGCAUUCAGGCUGUGCUGACCUUUGUGAAUUUUCCAAAUGUGGGAAUCUCGACUGGAUAAUUUCUGAUAGUAGGGGUCUGAGUUCACCCUCUCCCCUU